rnacentral:rRNA from 1 species
AUGUACCACGUACCUCCAAAUGUCGGUGACUGUUAUUACCUACGAAUGCUUCUUAUGUAUGUGAAAGCAGCUGAGUCGUACGAAGAUGUGAGAACCUUUGAAGGUAUUGUAUAUGACACAUUUAAAGAAGCGUGUUCUGCAAGAGGUUUGUUAGGUGAUGAUCAAGAGUGGAUAAAAGCUUUUGAUGAAGCUGUUCGCUGGGGUAUGGGCCGACAGAUUCACUCACUUUUCGUUAUGAUGUUUAUCUACUGUGGUAUAGGUGACGAGCGUGCUUUUUUUGAAAAAUAUUGGCAAGCUAUGGGCGAUGAUAUAGUAUACAACUUGCGACGCAAUUUAAAUAAUAAGUCAUACAAUGUGCCCGAUGACUCUUUAAAACACAUGGUUCUACAAGAACUGCAUGAAUUGUUCCUAAAAAAUGGUCAUAGCCCAUCGAAUUACAACUUGCCUCCUCUUGUUGACAGCAGUUCAGAUGCAUUUGAAAAUUGA